rnacentral:rRNA from 1 species
AACGAGUCUAGUGAGCGAUAGGCGGCUUGUUCUCGAUUCUUAAGGUUGAUAAUGCUUGUUUUCUGGUUUAGGAAGGAUUAAAUUUCAGGCUAUUGGAAAACUCAUUGUUGUGGGUUAACAUUCAAGGCAUCAUUCAUUAAAUCAUAACGUUUUUAUUCCGACGGCGUCCAUCGAAGGGUGGCGUAAGCCUUCCGCUCGUAAAAUGGCGGCUUCGAUCCGACUGAGGCGUUUGCCUCUGGAUGAAGGAUCGACUCCAGUAGCGGAAACAUAGAUGAUGACCCGAGAAUAGGCGUCGCUGCCUUCGGGUCUGAGAUGGGUCGAGCGAAUUCUCCUCCGACUAUUCGUUUAGCCUUGCGCAAACGAAUUCCGAUUGAUCCCGUCGGACCCCACUGCUAUCGAGGUGGGACUAAGCCAUGCCAGUCGAACGACCCGGACUAUGGCGGGGAGUGGCAGACUGCUCAGUAACACGUAGCUAACCUACCCUCGGGACGGGGAUAACCCCGGGAAACUGGGGCUAAUACCCGAUAGGUGUGGAUUCCUGGAAUGGUGCCAUGCCUAAACGUAAGCGCAUCCAUGUUUGUGUGCACGCCCGAGGAUGGGGCUGCGGCCGAUCAGGCAGUUGGUGAGGUAACGGCUCACCAAACCUUUGACCGGUACGGGCCAUGAGAGUGGUAGCCCGGAGAUGGGCACUGAGACAAGGGCCCAGGCCCUACGGGGCGCAGCAGGCGCGAAACCUCCACAAUUCACGCAAGUGAGAUGGGGUUACCUCGAGUGCCGCCUGAAGAAGGCGGCUUUUCCAUGGUGUAAUGAGCCGUGGGAAUAAGGGGGGGGCAAGACUGGUGUCAGCCGCCGCGGUAACACCAGCCCCCCGAGUGGUGGGGAUGAUUAUUUGGCCUAAAGCGUCCGUAGCCGGCCCUGUAAAUCUCUCGUUAAAUCCAGCGUCCCAAGCGUUGGGCUGCGAGGGGAACUGCAGAGCUAGAGGGUGGGAGAGGUCAGCGGUAUUCCUGGGGUAGGGGCGAAAUCCAUUGAUCCCAGGAGGACCACCAGUGGCGAAGGCUGCUGACUAGAACACGCCUGACGGUGAGGGACGAAAGCUGGGGUAGCGAAUCGGAUUAGAUACCCGAGUAGUCCCAGCCGUAAACGAUGCAGGCUAGGUGUUGGGUCGGCCACGCGCCGCCUCAGUGCCACAGGGAAGCCAUUAAGCCUGCCGCCUGGGGAGUACGGCCGCAAGGCUGAAACUUAAAGGAAUUGGCGGGGGAGCACCACCAGGCGUGAAGCCUGCGGUUUAAUUGGAGUCAACGCCGGGAACCUUACCGGGAGCGACAGCAGAGUGAAGGCCAGGCUGAAGGUCUUGCCAGACGAGCUGAGAGGAGGUGCAUGGCCGUCGCCAGUUCGUGCCGUGAGGUGUCCUCUUAAGUGAGGUAACGAACGAGACCCGCGCCCCAUGUUGCCAGCAAAUCCUAAAGGGAUGUUGGGCACUCUUGGGGGACCGCAGCCGACAAGGCUGAGGAAGGUGCGGGCAACGGCAGGUCAGUAUGCCCCGAAUCUCCCGGGCCACACGCGGGCUGCAAUGGUAGUGACAGAGGGCUGCCACCCCGAGAGGGGGAGCCAAUCCCUAAACACUACCUCAGUUGGGAUCGAGGGCUGCAACCCGCCCUCGUGAACAUGGAAUGCCUAGUAACCGCCGGUCAUCAUCCGGCGGUGAAUACGUCCCUGCUCCUUGCACA